rnacentral:lncRNA from 1 species
GUGCCGCGGGAAGGUCCCCCCGGAGCUGGGUGUCACUGCUCUGAAUUCCCUCCACUGGAGAUGGGUCUCGGGAAUCUCAGAUCUCUUGCACUGUGAGGAGACAGCUACCACAUCAUGCUAAACUUAUCCAGCACCGUGGGAAGGUCUGUGAGAAGGAGCUUAGCCCACCAACUGCCAUCACAGGGAAGACUGAGGCAGGAGGAUUGCCAUAAGUUUGAGGACAUCCUACCUGAACUAUGAGUUGGGACCCUGUCUCAAAAAAAACACAGCCAGAGGCUGGCUGGCUUCCUUUGGAACCUCUGCUCUUUAGCCACCAGCUGUCUGUCUUCUGAUGGGAAUCCUGCCUCUAGUGACCUCCUUACCUCAGUUUGCAGCUGAAUCAACAAAGAAACGAGGAUCAACAGUUCCCAGUUCUGGAGGCUGAUGGUCUCUGAUUAAUCGCAUAGCCCAUUUAGUCCAGCUUCUGUGGCUCAUGGUGUCAAAACAGGUCACAUCAAGGCAGAAGCCAGAGGGAUUCAGCUAUGAGGCCUGCUGUUUUGCUUUGUUUUGUUUUACUUUCUUUAAUAUAAUAAACAAAACUGGCUCUCUCAAGGAUGGAAUGAUAAAUACAGUAAUCUGAUUAUCUUGCAGUAGAUAAUUUGUCUACCUGUUAAUGAUUCUGCUUCUUGGACUACGUCCCAGUAGAUGCCAUGCUUUCAGCCUG